AUCGGCGUCGUUGGUGAGUGCUCCACGAGAGUGUUCGCGAUAGCCGAGGUCGUUAUCCGGCUUUGACCACGGAUGUUGCUAGCACUGGUACGAGAUGCGAUGCGGAGAGGGUCGGAGCGAAUUCGCCCGGGCCUUUUUUAUU
rnacentral:sRNA from 1 species